GCCUCUGUGGUGUAGUGGUAGCAGGCGCCCCUGGUUUGGAUGAAACGCGGGUUCAACUCCCGCCUGAAGUC